GUUUUCAUUGUGGACUUUUCAAUUAAUCAGCACAAAUCUAUCGUGCUAGAUUUGUGCUGAUUAAUUGAAAAGUCCACAAUGAAAAC